rnacentral:snoRNA from 1 species
UCCUCCUACAAAGGCAUGUUUUUGGUUCCCUGUCCUUGGACAUGUAAGAAUCGAGGCAAAGAAAUUUGGUGCAUUUGGAAAGGUCUGGGACCAACUCCCCACCCCCACCCCACCCCA